CCUUAAAAUGACCUCUGUCAAUUUUUAAUCAAAUAUUGAUCAGGAACUACAGAAUUUUCGACUACAGGGCGUCACACUACAGAGAACAGAACGACAGUCACAACGUCCCAAAAUACGACAGACUGAAAAUUUGCUGUUGUGUUUUUCAAGUGGGUGAGACGUCUAUACGGCGUAUACGCAGAUUGCUGUCCUCUCUAUUAAAAGCAACGUUGCUGAAACACGUCGUACAAGACGCUGUACGACUCGCAUAACAUCGAAAUACAACGCCGUCACCAUCCAUGAGAUCACCGAAAGCACGGUCACUUUCGGUGGCGGCCUACAGAUGGCAGCACAGGUAGCGCCGGUAAAGUUACAGGUGAUAUUAUUUUGCCGUCCUCAGUUGUCGCCACAUGUGAGUGCUUGCUGCAUUGACGCCGUCCGAUGUAGUUGUUUAAUCGUGUGUACGCUGUGCCGAGAGAAAUUGUGGUGCAUUUUGUAUGCAUUGAGAAUCACAAAACCCCUGGGACCGCGUAAUGUAGCCCGCAGUAUCCUUCGUGUGGUGCGCCGAUGUCGAAGAUAUGACCCUUCGCGCUUCCUUUGUUCCGGGCUCAUGAACAGGAUCUCCUCCUCUGGCACUGUCGCAUCGUAUCGCGCUGUACGGAAGAAUUUGGUGAAAGUUGUGCUCUUACGUCCUGUAGUUGAUCCGCAAUUCAACAGUGUGUGCGCCGGAAGGACCGUUGGUGCAGUCGAUGCCGCGGCACCUGUGACGCUAAAAGGAGCGUUUUCCGAGUACGCCUAGAAAGGGAUGGCAAGAUUUUGUGAACCAGAGGCACCUCCACAUAUGCACCUGCGGCACUUCUGCAGCCUCAACAGCACGGAAAAGUACCUGAUGUGCAUGCUGUGACAAGCUGCUGUAGGUAUGGCUGGACCUGGAGAAGUGUAAGCAGACCAUGCUAUGUUGCUGAUCUGCGCUGAUCUCCACAUCCAAGUUGGUCCCGCGACAGUUGGGCACCAUUGUGCCUUGCUUCAUUGACAAGGUGAUAUAAUAUGGUGCCCUGCUCGCUCUCACCCAAGCAACCCACUCCAGCGGUCUUCUCUCGGCAGACUGGAUGCAUCGAAAUACCGUUAGAAGGUCCAAUAAACAGUGCUUGGGACAUUUA
rnacentral:lncRNA from 1 species